GAUGAACGCUGGCGGCGUGCCUAAUACAUGCAAGUCGAGCGAACAGACGAGGAGCUUGCUCCUCUGACGUUAGCGGCGGACGGGUGAGUAACACGUGGAUAACCUACCUAUAAGUCUGGGAUAACUUCGGGAAACCGGAGCUAAUACCGGAGAAUAUAUUGAACCGCAUGGUUCAAUAGUGAAAGACGGUUUUGCUGUCACUUAUAGAUGGAUCCGCGCCGCAUUAGCUAGUUGGUAAGGUAACGGCUUACCAAGGCAACGAUGCGUAGCCGACCUGAGAGGGUGAUCGGCCACACUGGAACUGAGACACGGUCCAGACUCCUACGGGAGGCAGCAGUAGGGAAUCGUCCGCAAUGGGCGAAAGCCUGACGGAGCAACGCCGCGUGAGUGAUGAAGGUCUUCGGAUCGUAAAACUCUGUUAUUAGGGAAGAACAAAUGUGUAAGUAACUAUGCACGUCUUGACGGUACCUAAUCAGAAAGCCACGGCUAACUACGUG
rnacentral:rRNA from 1 species